UACGUAGGGUGCAAGCGUUGUCCGGAAUUAUUGGGCGUAAAGAGCUCGUAGGCGGUCUGUCGCGUCGGCUGUGAAAACUCGGGGCUCAACCUCGGGCCUGCAGUCGAUACGGGCAAACUAGAGUUCGGUAGGGGAGACUGGAAUUCCUGGUGUAGCGGUGGAAUGCGCAGAUAUCAGGAGGAACACCAAUGGCGAAGGCAGGUCUCUGGGCCGAAACUGACGCUGAGGAGCGAAAGCGUGGGGAGCGAACAGG
rnacentral:rRNA from 1 species